rnacentral:lncRNA from 1 species
CUGGAAACCAGCAAUGACCAUCAGAGGGGACAGGGAAGGGGAGGACUGAUUGGUCAAGAUGAACAUAUAGAUAAUGAUAACAUUUGUAUAAUGCAUGGGAGGAAAUGGAUGAGGACACUUGAAGUCAGAGGUGACCAGUCUAUGAGCUCUGGCUGCCCCAGGGCCCACCUGGAAAAUGAAGAAGAUUGAAGUUAAUCCAUGGCUGUUGCCCAUUCUCUACACUUAAGUGUGCCAGGUGCCAGGAUUUAUUUAGGGAGGGUUAGAGUCAAAGAAGGAAAUGUGAUCAUGAAGCAGAGGUCAUGGAGGAGAGAAGAUAGCUACACGGCUGGCUUUGAAGGUUGUGGGAAAGGCCAUGGGACAAGAAAUUUCUGUGGUUUCUGGAAGCCAGACAAGAUAUGGAAACAUAUCAUCAUCUAGAGCCUCCAAGAGGAAUGUAGACCUGGAGAUCAAGGUUGAUACCUUGAUUCAAGACUUCAGACCGCC